rnacentral:rRNA from 1 species
GACGAACGCUGGCGGCGUGCUUAACACAUGCAAGUCGAACGGGAUGGAGUAGACAUAAGCCUCUGCUAAAGAUUACUACUGAGAGUUGCGAACUGGUGAGUAACGCGUUAGCAACCUGCCUAUGACAGUGGGAUAGCCUCGGUACACCGUGAUUGAUACCGCAUAAAAUCGUAGGAAGACAUGUUUUAGCGGUUAAAGAUUUAUCGGUCAUAUAUCGGCUUGCGUCUGAUUAGCUAGUUGGUGAGGUAACAGCCCACCAAGGCGACGAUCAGUAGCCGGUAGGAGAGGAUGCACGGUUGGAUUGGAGAUGAGACCCGGUCCCAUCCCGUACGGAGGGGAGGAGUAGGGAAUAUUGCAGACUGGGGGAAAACCCGAUGAAGCGACGUCGCGUGAAAGAAGAAGGUAUUCGUAUAGUAAAGUUCUGUGCUAUGGGAAGAUAAUGACAGUAACAUAGAAGAAAGCUCCGGCUAAAUACGUG